AAUAUAUAUGUGACCAUUAUGUAUAAAAACUUCGCUAGCGUAAAAAAUCAUCAUGUUGAAUUAGCAACUAGGAACCUUGUGAACUGGUCGCCGCCGGAAGAAAACUACUGCUGCUGCCGACCGAUUGCCGAUGAGCACCAGCCACCUCAGAAAUUCUUUCUCACAUUAGUACCAUCACCGAUCUAAAUCAACCAGUUAUUUUGAGGGAUAACACUGGAACAUCUGUCACUAACCCUCCAGUCAGAGAGUAACACCACCGACACUCACACUACUACAUCGGGUGCAACACGAUUGAGAACGUUUUACUUUUUUUAUGACACGAUUAUGAACAAAUGUUGCUUAUCAAAG